CUGCUAUUGGGAUAGGACUAAGACAUGCUAGUCGAGCGCCUCUCAGCCACGACAGAGGCGCGGCACACAGCUCAGUAACACGUGGCUAACCUGCCCUUGGGACGGGACCACCCCCGGGAAACUGGGGCUAAUCCCCGAUAGGUGAAGAACUCUGGAAUGAGUCUCCGCCCAAAAGACGCUUACGUCAUGCUCGUAGACGCCGCCCAAGGAUGGGGCCGCGACCGAUCAGGUAGUUGGUGAGGCAAUGGCUCACCAAGCCUUUUACCGGUGCGGGCCGUGGGAGCGGGAGCCCGGAGAUGGGCACUGAGACAAGGGCCCAGGCCCUACGGGGCGCAGCAGUCGCGAAAACUUUGCAAUAAGCGAAAGCUUGACAGGGCUAUCCCGAGUGCCAUCCGCUGAGGAAGGCUUUUACCCAGUCUAGAACGCUGGGGGAAUAAGGAGAGGGCAAGUCUGGUGUCAGCCGCCGCGGUAAUACCAGCUCUCCGAGUGGUGUGGAUGUUUAUUGGGCCUAAAGCAUC
rnacentral:rRNA from 1 species